rnacentral:lncRNA from 1 species
GUAUAUAAAAAAUAAUUUGAGAUUUUAUAGUAUAUUGAAUAUAUAUAUAAAAAUAAAUAUUUUAAAAUACCACAAAGCUAACUAAUAUUAAUUUUUGCAACUGUUCAUAAUUCAAUUUGUUUUUAUAAUUUUUCCCUUUAUAUAUGCCUGAUGUAUCAUGUUAUUAUUAUUAAGAAAAUUUAAAAUUAUUUAUUUUAUGCUUCAAACGUUUGUGCUUUAUUCUAUAUUUUGUGAGGGAAGGAACUAUCGUCCGUGAUAAAACGAUGAUCAGAUAAGAAACUGUCGUCGUUAAUAAGACAAUGAUCGGAUAAGAAACUAUCGUCGGUAAUAAAAUGAUGGUCGGAGAAGGAAACAGUGACCGGGAAAAAGAGAAAAAAAAUUUUUUUGACAUCGCGCAUCUCCAAAAUAAAAGAGGAGAUCUAUCGUCCAUUGAGGAGAACCUCAUCAUUGUCUGCAGUGACACGACCAUCCUCUUUGUCUUCGCCAUUCUACCAUCUUUUGUCCAGACAAGUUACCGAAGUUUAUCCUUCCUCCAUCAUAUUUUCAUUGUGUGAACCAGAACUUUUAUUUGGA